GCCGGCUUAGCUCAGGGGUAGAGCGUCUGAUUUGUAAUCAGAGGGUCGGGGGUUCAAUUCCCUCAGCCGGCACCA
rnacentral:tRNA from 1 species